rnacentral:tRNA from 1 species
GCUGUCAUAGCUCAGCAGGCGAGAGCACUUCCGUAGUAAGGAAGGGGUCGCUGGUUCAAGUCCAGUUGUCGGCG